rnacentral:rRNA from 1 species
UACGUAGGGUGCGAGCGUUGUCCGGAAUUAUUGGGCGUAAAGGGCUCGUAGGCGGUUUGUCGCGUCGGGAGUGAAAACUCAGGGCUUAACCCUGAGCCUGCUUCCGAUACGGGCAGACUAGAGGUAUGCAGGGGAGAAUGGAAUUCCUGGUGUAGCGGUGAAAUGCGCAGAUAUCAGGAGGAACACCGGUGGCGAAGGCGGUUCUCUGGGCAUUACCUGACGCUGAGGAGCGAAAGUGUGGGGGAGCGAACAGG